rnacentral:tRNA from 1 species
GCGUCGGUAGCUUAGCGGCAGAGUCACGGUCUCCAAAACCGUGGGAUGCUGGGUCGAGACCAGCCCGACGCGCGA